rnacentral:rRNA from 1 species
GUGAGGAAUAUUGGUCAAUGGACGGAAGUCUGAACCAGCCAAGUAGCGUGCAGGAUGACGGCCCUAUGGGUUGUAAACUGCUUUUAUAUGGGGAUAAAGUGAGGGACGUGUCCCUUUUUGUAGGUACCAUAUGAAUAAGGACCGGCUAAUUCCGUGCCAGCAGCCGCGGUAAUACGGAAGGUCCGGGCGUUAUCCGGAUUUAUUGGGUUUAAAGGGAGCGCAGGCUGAUGAUUAAGCGUGACGUGAAAUGUAGCCGCUCAACGGCUGAACUGCGUCGCGAACUGGUUAUCUUGAGUGAGUUCGAUGUUGGCGGAAUUCGUGGUGUAGCGGUGAAAUGCUUAGAUAUCACGAAGAACUCCGAUUGCGAAGGCAGCCAACAAGGCCUUUACUGACGCUAAAGCUCGAAGGUGCGGGUAUCGAACAGG